UAAAGCAAAAUCUAAAGCAUGGCUGUCAGGAGGAUCAACAUAAUUAUCCAUUUGAGAGAGGGUUGGAGUGCAGGGUAUUCUCUUUCAUUGUUCAAACUAUAUAUAUUUUAAUUGGGGUAGCCCCCAAAAUAUUGGGACAUAUAAAAAAAACACAACUCUGUUCCGCAGAGUAGCUGUUGACAUUAUAGUUGCGCAGGAACUUUGUUGACUCUAGAGAACCUCGGGCAAAUCACACAUCCCCGUGGCGGCGACUUUGCAUGCAGAUGUCAUCCAUAUCAACUUUCGAUCUAAGUUUCUGCGCCUACCAUGGUGACCACGGGUAACGGGGAAUCAGCAUUCCAUUCCGUACAGGGUCCCUGGGAAAUGGUUACCACAUGCAAGGAAGGCAGCAGGCGUGCAAAUGACCCACUCCCGACGCGGGAAGGUAGUGACGACAAAUAACAAUACAGAACUCUUUAGAGGCCCUGUAAUUGUAAUGAGUCCACUUAAAAUCAUUUAACUCUGAUCAAUUGGAGGGAAGUCUGGUGCAGAGCCACUGACCUGUGCUGAA